UCCGCUGCCAGACGUUCAAAAGCAAGAAGCAUUUCGAGCAGCUGUGUGUGAAGCACCAGAGUUUUGGUACUGCAUGGCUGACCUCAAAUGAUAAAGCGGAUUUGUUGGCCUUCAUCAAUAAUUCUCCAUUUUCCUACACAACUUCUAAAACUGAGUGAUUGAGUAAUCUGAAAACACGCACUGCUUCGGGGUCACUGAGCAGUCAUCAACGCGCAUAUCGAGAGUUUACUUAAAACAAGACAAGACAAUUACUGGUCAAGAGACAAGGUUCAGGGCCUCCUGUAAUGUUUGCAGUUCCAUCAUUGGUCCAGUUCGCCAGCAAGUCAAGUCAGUCCCGGAAAUUUUUCAGCCUGUAAAAUAUUUAAGAACUGUUAUUUGUUUGGAGGUUUAUUCAAAUGUAAUCAAAUAUGUCCUGUAGGAAACAUCCGAUAUUCAUUAUCCAGCAAAGCUAUGAAGGGUCUAAUGGAGACUAGCUGGGACAUUAAAGCAGUAACACUGACAGUGUGUUAGUCUGGGUGUUUUGGGGCAUCGGCGUUAGUAGAUUAAAGGAA